GUGCCAGCAGCCGCGGUAAUACGUAGGGUGCGAGCGUUAAUCGGAAUUACUGGGCGUAAAGCGUGCGCAGGCGGUGCUGUAAGACAGGCGUGAAAUCCCCGGGCUUAACCUGGGAAUGGCGCUUGUGACUGCAGUGCUGGAGUGUGGCAGAGGGGGAUGGAAUUCCGCGUGUAGCAGUGAAAUGCGUAGAUAUGCGGAGGAACACCGAUGGCGAAGGCAAUCCCCUGGGCCUGCACUGACGCUCAUGCACGAAAGCGUGGGGAGCAAACAGGAUUAGAUACCCUGGUAGUCC
rnacentral:rRNA from 1 species